UACGAAGGGGGCUAGCGUUGCUCGGAAUCACUGGGCGUAAAGCGCACGUAGGCGGAUUGUUAAGUCAGGGGUGAAAUCCUGGAGCUCAACUCCAGAACUGCCUUUGAUACUGGCGAUCUUGAGUCCGGGAGAGGUGAGUGGAACUGCGAGUGUAGAGGUGAAAUUCGUAGAUAUUCGCAAGAACACCAGUGGCGAAGGCGGCUCACUGGCCCGGUACUGACGCUGAGGUGCGA
rnacentral:rRNA from 1 species